ACGCGUGGUUCGGCGGCGUUUCCAGGCUCUCUGGGGGAUCGAGGUCUGACGCUCCCAUGAGUCAGGAGGCUUCAGUGGGGGCAGCUUGUUCAACCGCCCAUGCCUCCUCAGCAUAUGGGGAACAGCGCUCUCUCUGCUUUGCUCUCCCUUCACUCUUUCAUCCCCCUCCCUCUCUCCUUCUCUCUGACUCUGCUGCUCCUUCCCUCAACUCCUUUAACAGGCUGCUGUGCUGCUCCUGUCUGCCUCUGAGCAGGGAGAGCUGAGCUUGAAAUCUCACAGAAACAUCUCAAACUUUUUGCAAGACUACACACAACAAAAGACUUGGUGCCAUAGGCCCGACUGCUCAAGCAAGAAGAGUUCAUAUGGACACAAAACCAACAUGUGGUGCCUGGAAGACUCCCCACAGAGGUCAGCUCCAGGACUCACCGGCCCAGGAGACAAUGGAUCAGGACGGGGUGGAUUGGAUCACUGGUACAGGCCAUGAAACAAACACUGGAGAGACAUUAAAUUGAGCGUUGGCCACGUGGGGAGUUUUAUUGAGCUAGAAUUCUAGAGACGAAGCAAAAUACCGGUCUGCUUAGAUUUAAUCUACACUUUAAAAAAAAAAACCUUUUCCUGUUUCUUAUUCUAUUUCUCUGAGAGUUUUUUCAGCUGACAAGUUGGACUGGAUGCGAGCCACCAAUCAGAGCAGGUGAGCUUCCCAUCCAAAACCAAUCAAACCCUCUCGUUCUCCAAGAUGUGACAAAUUUCUGUGCGCAAUGCUA